GAUGAACGCUGGCGGUAUGCCUAACACAUGCAAGUCGUACGAGAGUUUUUAACUCUAGUGGCGGACGGGUGAGUAACACGUGAGAAUUUGCCUUUAGGAGGGGGACAACAAUUGGAAACGAAUGCUAAUACCCCAUAUGCUUUCGAGUGAAAUGGAUUUUAUCCGCCUAGAGAGAAGCUCGCGGCUGAUUAGCUUGUUGGUAAGGUAAGAGCUUACCAAGGCGACGAUCAGUAUCUGGUUUGAGAGGACGAUCAGACACACUGGAACUGAGACACGGUCCAGACUCCUACGGGAGGCAGCAGUGGGGGAAUUUUCCGCAAUGGGCGAAAGCCUGACGGAGCAAUACCGCGUGAGGGAAGAAUGCCUAUGGGUUGUAAACCUCUUUUUCUAGGGAGGAAUAAAAUAGACGUGUACCUGAAGAAUAAGCAUCGGCUAACUCCGUG
rnacentral:rRNA from 1 species